rnacentral:lncRNA from 1 species
CAAUAGCUACAAAUUCAACAUCUUAAACAUCAUGAAAUUAUACUAAUGUAUCAGCUCCUUCAUAUGAGAUAGUUCCUAUGACACAGUAGACCUUCAUAUGAGAGUUUCUAUGAUAUAUUAGAGUUCAACAAGUUUGUUGAGGGGACCAGUGAGGAGAGACUUGUCCAUAUCAAAUAUAUGUUCUAACAUCUUUACUAUGAUAUUAACUUCUUUCUUAAAUAUAAAUGAUUCUGAGAAUGAAUCUGGGUACGUAUACUUUGUAAAUUAUUUAUCAUGUCCAUCUUCUUACCUAUUUUGGUAACAGUUUGCAUGGGAUGAAGUUCAACGAAUCCGAAGAUGAAGACUCAUCAAUCUCAUCCAACUAGAUAAAUUUAGCUUUCCCUCCCUCGCGAGAGUUCAGGUGAGAUAUUGGAGCUUACCAAAUACGAAAAGAUAGAAUAAUAAUCCGUGGUAAUGUCUAUU